UGGGAUAUAGCCAAGUUGGUAAGGCAUCAGAUUCUGAAUCUGAUAUGCAUUGGUUCGAGUCCAAUUAUCCCAGCCA
rnacentral:tRNA from 1 species